rnacentral:rRNA from 1 species
GAUGAACGCUGGCGGCGUGCCUAAUACAUGCAAGUCGAGCGAACAGACGAGGAGCUUGCUCCUCUGACGUUAGCGGCGGACGGGUGAGUAACACGUGGAUAACCUACCUAUAAGACUGGGAUAACUUCGGGAAACCGGAGCUAAUACCAGAUAAUAUAUUGAACCGCAUGGUUCAAUAGUGAAAGACGGUUUUGCUGUCACUUAUAGAUGGAUCCGCGCCGCAUUAGCUAGUUGGUAAGGUAACGGCUUACCAAGGCGACGAUGCGUAGCCGACCUGAGAGGGUGAUCGGCCACACUGGAACUGAGACACGGUCCAGACUCCUACGGGAGGCAGCAGUAGGGAAUCUUCCGCAAUGGGCGAAAGCCUGACGGAGCAACGCCGCGUGAGUGAUGAAGGUCUUCGGAUCGUAAAACUCUGUUAUUAGGGAAGAACAAAUGUGUAAGUAACUAUGCACGUCUUGACGGUACAUAAUCAGAAAGCCACGGCUAACUACGUG